UCCGUAGGCGGUGUGGUAAGUCGAUAGUGAAAUCUCUGGGCUUAACCCAGAGGCUGCUAACGAAACUGCCAUGCUCGAGUGUGAGAGAGGCGAGUGGAAUUACGGGUGUAGCGGUGAAAUGCGUAGAUAUCCGUAGGAACAUCCGAGGCGAAAGCGGCUCGCUGGAUCACAACUGACGCUGAGGGACGAAAGCUAGGGGAGCAAACAGGAUUAGAUACCCUGGUAGUCCUAGCCCUAAACCAUCAGGACUUGGGGUUUGCCCUGUACGGGGCAAGUCCCGUAGCUAACGCGUUAAGUCCUGCGCCUGGGGAGUACGGUCGCAAGGCUGAA
rnacentral:rRNA from 1 species